GCAGGUGGGCUGAGUCCGAAAAGAGUCAGCGAAGGGAGAUAGGGGUGGGGCUGUUUUAUAGUAUUUGGGAAGGUAAUGGAAAAUUACAGUCAAAGGGCGGGCAGGAGUGGGGGGUCGCAAGGUGCUCAGUGGGGGUGCUUCUGAGCCAGGAGAAGGAAAUUUGCAGGGUUAAUCACUCAGUUAAGGUGGGGCAGGAACAAAUCACAAUGGUGGAAUGUCAUCAGUUAAGGCGGGGCAGGGCCUUUUCACUUCUUUUGUGAUUCUUCAGUUACUUCAGGCCAUCUGGGUGUAUAUGUGCAAGGCACAGGGGAUGCGAUGGCUUGGCUUGGGCUCAGAGGCCUGACAGUGGCACACGCCUGUAAUCCCAGCUACUUGGGAGCCUGAGGCAGGAGAAUCACUUGAACCCAGGAGGUGCAGGGUGCAGUGAGCCGAGAUCGCCCCACUGCACUCCAGCCUGGGCAACAGAGACUCCAUCUCAAAAAAACAAAAAAAAAAGCACAGGUCCCCUCCCUCAGUCCUGCAGACUUCCUCAAGCUGGGAAGGACCAAGGAUUUUGGGAAAUAACUCCACCGGCUUACAGACAGUGCACCCCAGGACAAAGAGUCAUGGUGUAAAUUUUAAUUAUCCUUUGUAGAGGCUUCAAAAAAAAAAAAAUCUAGAGUGCAGAGGUUCAGUCUGGUCCACACAGUUCUGAAUGCCUUUUAAUUAUCAUCACACACACCAGAGAAGGUCAUCUUAGAAUAUUUAAUCAGUUAGCACUAGAUGAAGGCUGGAGUAGGAGAGACUGGGAUAGUGGGGGGCAAUGUGGGGAUGGAGGCAGGGCGAGGGAGAUAAAGUCAAACUGGUUUUUUUUUUGUUUUUUUUUUUUUUUUUUUUUGGAGACAGAGCCUUACUCUGUCGCCCAGGCUGGAGUGCAAUGGUGUGAUCUCAGCUCACUGCAACCUCUGCCUCCUGGGUUUAAUCGAUUCUCCUGCCUCAGCCUCCCAAGUAGCUGGGAUUACAGGCACCCACCACCAUGCCCAGCUAAUUUAUUUGUAUUUUUUUAGUAGAGACAGGGUUUCACCAUGUUGGCCAGGCUGGUCUCGAACUCCUGACCUCAGGUGAUCCACCCGCCUCGGUCUCCCAAAGUGCUGGGAUUAUAGGGGUGAGCCACCGUGCCCAGCUAAGAUAUUUCAAUCUGUGAAUAACCCAUAUGGCCUGGUAACAGCAAGCACCUGGGAAUAUAUACAGUGGUACUGUCAAUACAGGAGACACAUGUGGCUAUUUAAUUAAAAGUAGUUGGGCAGAGUGGCUCACUCCUAUAAUCUCAGCAUUUGGGGAGGCCAAGGCAGGAAGAUUGUUUGAGCCCAGAAGUUCAACACUGCAGUGAGCUAUAGUUACACCACUGUGCUCCAGCCUGGGCGACACAGCGAGACCCUGACUCCAAAAAAAAAUCUUAAGGUUUUUUUUUUUUUUUUUUUUUUUUUGAGACAGGGUCUCGCUCUGUUGCCCAGGCUAGAAUUUAGCGGCACGAUCACAGAUCAUCACAGCCACGCACGACCUCCUUGGCUCAAGGGAUUCCUCCCACCUCAGCCUCUCACGUAGCUGGGACUACAGGUAUGCAUAACCUCGCUGGGCUCGUUACUUUGUUUUUUUUUUAGAGGCAGGAUUUCACCAUGUUGCCCAGGGUGGUCUCGUACUCCUGGAUUCAAGCAAUCCUCCUGCUUCGGCCUCCCAAAGUGUCAGGAUUACAGGCGUGAGCCACUGUGCCCAGUCUCAAACAAAAUUAAAAAUUCAGUUUCUCAGUCACACUAGCCACAUUUCAAGUGCUCAGAAACUUUAUGUGGGGCCAGGCAUGGUGGCUCAUGCCUGCAAUCCCAGCACUUUGGGAGGCCGAGGCGGGCGGAUCACGAGGUCAGGAGUUCGAGACCAGCCUAACCAACAUGGUGAAACCCUGUCUCUACUAAAAAAAUACAAAAAUUAGCCGGGCGUGGUGGUGUGCGCCUGUAAUCUCAGCUACUUGGGAGGUUGAGGCGGGAGCAUUGCUUGAACCCGGGAGGCGGAGGAUGUGGUGAGCCGACGUCGUGCCAUUGCACUCCAGCCUGGGCAAUAAGAGCGAAACUCCGUCUCAAAAAAAAAAAACAAAGGUUUAUGUGGCCACUGGCUACUGUACUGGACAGUACAGACCUAGAACAUGAACCAAACAUCACAGAAAGUUCCAGUGGAGAACACUGCUACAUAUCUGCCUGUUUUAGUUAGAAGCCAACAUUUUAUUUUUAUUUUAUUUUAUUUUUUGAGAUGGAGUUUCGCUGCUGUUGCCCAGGCUGGAGUGCAAUGGUGCGAUCUCGGCUCACCACAACCUCCGCCUCCCAGGUUCAAGCAAUUCUCCUGCCUCAGCCUCCUGAGUAGCUGGGAUCACAGGCAUGCUCCACCACGCCCAGCUAAUUUUGUAUUUUUAGUAGAGAUGGGGUUUCU
rnacentral:lncRNA from 10 species